CCGUUGUCUUAGGUGUUCCGGCUGCCUCUCUUUCCUUUAAAGUCUUCAAGAUCAAUGUCUUGAGGAAAUUCAUGACCUGAACUGCAUGUAUCAGGGCAGUCAAUGGAUCGGCCAUCUGGAAAACAAACAUUGCAGGUUCUGAAAUGUUCAGAUUGCAUAAAAAGGGGAUGCACAUACAUAGAUGCAACUGCCUAGUCGUCUGUCAAUCUGAGCUCAGGCCGUGGACCGGAAAAAUUAAGGAGAGAUGAGGAAGUUCAUGCUACCUUUAUCAACCCUGCAAGGCAGUGUUGCGGUGGCCAUACCUUAAGUCCCUCUCGUUCAUACAACUUCCUCUGCAUCAUCAACAGUAUUGUGGGCACGCUAUUUCCUUUGUGAUCAAAUGAACAUUGCAAAGAGGUUGGUGAAACACCAAAUACAUUUACACUGCA